UACGUAGGAUGCAAGCGUUGUCCGGAAUUAUUGGGCGUAAAGAGCGCGCAGGCGGUAUGACAAGUCAGAUGUGAAAGAGGCCGGCUUAACCGGCAAGGGUCAUUUGAAACUGUCAGACUAGAGUGCAGCAGAGGAUAGUGGAAUUCCCGGUGUAGUGGUGAAAUGCGUAGAUAUCAGGAGGAAUACCGGUGGUGUAGACGGCUCUCUGGACCGCCACUGACGCUGAGACACGAAAGCGUGGGUAGCAAACAGG
rnacentral:rRNA from 1 species